UUACGGCCAUAUCAGGUUGAAACACCGGUUCCCGUACGAUGACCAAAGUUAAUCAACGUCGAGCCUGGUCAGUAUCUAGAUGGGUGACCGUUUGGGAAUUCCAGGCGCUGUAAG